GAAAGCUGUUUGAGAGAAAAUGGAGAAUAAGAGAAAGAGGUAUGACAGAUUUUAGUUGCUCUGCCCAAGUGAUGUUAGAGCUUGUAGGGUAUGACAAAUUUAGUUGCCCUUCCCGUGUGAUAUUCGAGCUGUCGGGUAUGAUAGAUUCUCCUUGCUCUGCCUGUGUGUGGGAUGCCGACCAGGUUGUUGCAGGACUUAGCAGGUCAAUACUUGAAUUGUAGAAGUUGGUCAAUGUGACGUACACUACAAAGAAGUUAUUUGUAUACUCAAGUUAGUGAGUUCAUCAGUUGUCACAUAGCCAUCUAGUCAGUGUUUUGCAGGUCCAUCCUGGAUUUUUUGAGGAGGAGAUCCAGACGGGUUCUGUCAGCGGUGGUUUGGAUUUGUGGUUGAUAGACUUUUCUGGGUUGAAGAAGAGAUUGAGGGAGAGUUGACAGAAGUGAAAUGACUUUGAUGUGUCCAUGGUUUUGCUAUUAGUGCCCUUGAUGUGUUGCAACAGACUUGCUCUCUGUUCAUCUGUAACAAGUUGUCUUGGACCAGAUUUCUACUAUUAAGUUGGACCAAAUUUUUUUCUUUUAAAGAGAAUUUAUCAAUUUUGGGAGUGAUUAAAGAAUGUCUCAGUAAAUGGAUCCACGUUAUCAGAAUCAUGAAUGCACUUCGUCAAAGAACUCACUCUUUAGUCUGCAUAUCACUCAACACCUCCAAAUUCAUUCACAUUUCCACAAAUUCAAAGAGCAGCACACUUGUCAAUGCCAUGUGUGAUUCUUUAAGACGAGGCUCGAAUUGGGACACUCUUACCAAGCAAUUCUGUUCUGUUGAGUUAAACCAUUCUAUUGUUGAGAAAGUCUUGCUGAAACUAAAGGACCCAGUUGAUGCUAAAUGCGCUUUGGGUUUCUUUCAUUGGUCAGCCCAAAGGAAGCACUAUCAACACAACCUUUGGUCUUAUUGCGCCACAAUUCAUGUUAUGGUCAGAGCCCGGAUGCUCAUUGAUGCUCGUGUGUUGAUUGAAUCAGUUUUGAAGAAACAUGUGGAGGAUGAUUCAAGAUGCUUGGUUAUUGAUUCAUUGUUUCGUACUUAUGAAGUUAUGGAGUCAAGUCCACUUGUGUUUGAUUUGUUGGUUCAGGCCUAUGCUAAAAUGAGAAUGCUUGAGGUUGCUUUUGAUGUUUGUUGCUACUUGGAAGAACAUGGGUUUUCUUUGAGUUUAAUAAGUUUCAAUACUUUGAUUCAUCUUGUUACAAAAUCUGAUAAAAGUUGUCUAGUGUGGAGUAUCUAUGAGUAUAUGCUGCAAAAGAGAAGAUACCCAAAUGAAGAGACAAUCAGAAGUUUAAUAAGUGCAUUGUGCAAGGAAGGGAAGUUGCAAACUUAUGUGGACAUGUUGGAUAGGAUUCAUGGGAAGAGAUGUUCUCCUUCAGUGAUUGUUAAUACCAGUUUGAUUUUUAGGAUUAUAGAGGAGGGACAAACUGAAGGUGGUGUGCUACUGUUGAAGAGAAUGUUACAAAGGAACAUGAUUCUUGAUACAAUUGCUUACUCAUUAGUUGUUUAUGCAAAGGUAAAACUUGGGAAUUUGGAGUCAGCAUUGGAAGGCUAUGAAGAAAUGCUUAAGAGAGGAUUUAGUGCAAAUUCUUUUGUGUAUACUACAUUUAUAGGAGCCUAUUGUAGAGAAGGGAAAAUUGAAAGAGCAAAUUUCUUGUUGCAAGAAAUGGAAAACAUGGGUUUGAAGCCAUAUGAUGAAACCUUUAAUCUUAUAAUCGAGGGUUGUGCAAAGGUAAAUAGAGUGGAAGAAAGUUUAAGUAACUGUGAGAAAAUGAUGGGGAGAGGACUUCUUCCCAGCUGUUCAGCUUUCAAUGAGAUGAUAGGAAAGUUAUGUGAGACUGGGAAUGCAGAACAGGCCAAUGCAAUGCUAACUCCCUUAUUAGAUAAAGGGUUUCUACCUAAUGAAAUCACAUACUCUCAUCUUAUAGCUGGUUAUGCCAAAGCACACAAGAUUCAAGAAAUAUUGAAGCUUUACUAUGAGAUGGAAUCCAGACUACUUACUCCAACAUUGCAGGUUUUCUCAUCAUUGAUAAGGUGCCUUUGUCAAUGUGGGAAAGUAGAUAAAGCAGAUAAGUAUUUAAGAGUAAUGAAAAGCCGAUCACUAGUUCCAGGUGUGGAAAUCUAUGAGGCAUUGAUUGCUAGCCACAUUCAAAAGGGUGAUAAAACAAGAGCUCUUCACCUUCAUAAUGAGCUGAUUUCUAAGUGAUUGAAAUCUAGUUGUUCAUAUUUCUAUGGUGCUACUACAGAAAGAGCAAUGACUUCUUGACCGUCGCAACAACAGUCCUUGGAACUCUGUUUGGGAUGUAGCUAUUGCAGUAAACCCUAAGAGGUUUGUUAUGCUAGUUUUCACAAUUACCUGGAAUCAAUAUCUAGAGUCAUUUU